CAGUGUCUGGCCAGGGCUUGGUCUCUCCGGACCUCUCCGAUCCCCUGGUUGGUGGGGAACUUCAACUUCAAAUGGUAGGUCGAUACGACGGCUCGGAGAGCGUUGAGGCCAGAUCGACCGAGAAUUGCAUUGUAGGCUGAUGGCGCCUUCACCACCAAGAAAUUCACCAGGGCCCUAGAUUGUCUUGGGUAUUGACCUGCGGCCACGGUCAAAGUUAUUAUUCCUUCCGUCGGAAUGGCGUCGCCGGUAAACCCUACCAAAGGGGAGCUAAUCGGCCUC
rnacentral:lncRNA from 1 species